AGAGGGGGCAAGCGUUGUUCGGAAUUACUGGGCGUAAAGGGCGCGUAGGCGGCCUUCUAAGUCGAACGUGAAAUCCCUGGGCUCAACCCAGGAACUGCGUCCGAGACUGGGAGGCUAGAAUCCGGGAGAGGGAUGUGGAAUUCCAGGUGUAGCGGUGAAAUGCGUAGAUAUCUGGAGGAACAUCGGUGGCGAAGGCGGCAUCCUGGACCGGUAUUGACGCUGAGGCGCGAAAGCCAGGGGAGCAAACGGGAUUAGAUACCCCGGUAGUCCUGGCCCUAAACGAUGAAUGCUUGGUGUGGCGGGUAUCGAUCCCUGCCGUGCCGAAGCUAACGCAUUAAGCAUUCCGCCUGGGGAGUACGGUCGCAAGGCUG
rnacentral:rRNA from 1 species